AAGAUUUUAAAGGAAGGCUUUCAAAGCUCUGCUGAAGGCAGUGGUGAUUCUACGACUUGUGCUGUGCUGCAGAAGUCUGGAGCACACCUGUCCUCAGAAGAGACUGACCUUUUGAAGCACAGGGGUCCUCGUGUUGCACCUCUCAGCACUAUAAAACCCUGCAAGCAGCAUUGCCUCAACCAUAAAUCCAGGGCAGCCAUAGCUUCAUAAGAAUAUCUUCACUUCAAAGUAGCAAAUUGUACAUUUGUUCACAAAACCCACUGAAAACAAAAAUCUAAAGUCAUGUGGAGCUUUGGUGGUUUAGAAGAAGAUAAUAUUCAGGAAAGUGCAGUAGGUGUUGUGGACCUUGGCUUUAUUUUGGAAAUAGUGUAAUGAAGUUGGACCUUGAGCUUGGUACAGCACAGAGUAAAGUUUCAGACAUGAUAUGUGGCAUGACCGGCAUCCACAACAGCCUGCUUGGACUUCAGCCCACUGCAGGCACCUUCAGAUGAAGACCAUGUUUUACAAGACCUGACAUUCAGCAUUACAGCAAGUCAAAGAAAGAACCCAACAUUGACAUGAACUGAAACCAUUCCAAGCAUGAGAGGCAAAUUCAUUGACUUGGUUUGGUUAGGAAAGCUGGAAACAGAAAUUUCAAAUCUGGGGAAAAAAAAAAAAAAGUGGUUCUGGCAUUUUUCUAAUAAAAAUCCUGAGCAUUUUUUUCUGUUAAAAAUGUUGUGUUUAGAUAUUCACUUAAAUACCUUUUUAAAGGAAUUAAUCAUCCCUAAAUGAAAUAAAUUCAUGAAUGCAUUGGGAAAGGGUCAAAUGGGAUGCAAUUUUUCAAUCCAAACCUAAUUUUCCUGUUUUUUCUUCCACCCAAAACAUAUUUGUAAUUAACGAAUGAAUUGAGCCAAGCUGAAAUGCUGGCACAGUGACAAGCUCCAUUCAGAAAGCCAGAUCAUUUCUUUUGGUGAGUUCAGGAUCAGGAGCAAAUUGUAGGCCUGAUCCUGACAAUUUUUUGCCUAUACAAGAAUAGAUUUUUGUAUUGGGGUGAUGUCGCAGUCCUUUCGGGCUGUGAUUUAUCCCAAAAUUAUUACAGCAGUGAGACCUGUGGUUGGCUUUCACCAUAUCCAUUGCUUGCUAUCACCCUUCUUGCAGAACUUGCUUUUUUGCCAGCUGGUUGUCCACAUCAUUCCCUCACCUAUUUCACAAGCCAAGCAGCUUGGAUCUGCGAUGCACCCUGGACACACUGCAGCGGUUCUGUGUUCCUUCUCAGCAUUUCAGAUGGGCUUCAUGUCCAUUGAGAAAUCCUGGACAAAUGUGAAAAUCCUUAAAGCCUGCCCAAACAGAAUUUGCAGGCAGAAAUGGAGGCAGUGAUGUCCUGCCGUGUUUCAUGAAGCCCUUCAGUGCAAACAAAACCUACCGUUGAUCUUCCCAGUGUGGAGGAAAUUAAACAAUCCUGUAUUUUUAAAAGAGACACAAAUCAUUAAUUUCUAAACUCUUCUUUUUGUAACAAUACUCAGGACAUAGCUUGGAUGUACUUAGGAGACCAAGCGGAUGAGCUGAUUACAUUCCAAUGAACUUUAAUGAAAUUUGAGCACCUAAUUCCCUGAGGCUUCUUUGACAACUCCAUUCAAAGUCUCUUUAAAGCAGUUUCUGUAGUCUAUACUUGAUAUCUUUCUUCUUAGCUUUUGUUGUGGUGGAUGUUAUAAAUAUUCAGUGAUUUUUAUGAGCCUCAGCAGACCAAAAAUUAUCUUCAAAGAGCUCGCUUACACGUAUUCACGUAUUUUAAAAACCCUAAGAGUUACUUUAAAAGAAACAGUAUCUGAAUAUCUGCAUGCCUAUACCUAGUGAAAAGAAAUGUUUUACAGCAAAUAGUACUUUCACUGAGGAACAAAGGAACAGAAGAAAGGAUGAGGAGAUUGCAGAAGUGAUACAUGUUCAAAGAAAUGCUAUUAUGGAGCUCUUGAGAAAUAUUUGAUUAUCCCAACACAAAAUGUCAUUAAACUAAAUUUGUUCAAGGAUUGGUUGUGCAAGAUAAUGAGAGAACUAAGACUCCACUGAGAUAAAUCAGAAGCAGGUUGUUCUCUAUCCUCUCUAUUAUAUGUUGUCAGUGAAGGGAAAGGGCAAACAGAACUGUUAAAAUAACCCUAAAGUGCUGUGGUUUGUACUCACACCUCUUGAAUUAUCUGAUGGGCAUUUCAGUUAAUGCAUUUCCAGUCUGCUGAAGGCAGUAGAAACAAAAGCUCUCCCAAAAAUGGCAGGUGUUAAAUGGAACAAUUCCAAGACAAAGUCAGAGGAGUAGGGAGUUAGAUCAAAGUAUGCGUUUAGCUAUAAUAAU